GUGCUGACUUCAGCAUCACAUAUACUAAAAUUGGAAUGAUUCAGAGAUUAGUGUGGCCCCUGUGCAAGAACUACAAGCUAGCUACUUAAUAUACAUUAUU
rnacentral:snRNA from 1 species